rnacentral:ncRNA from 1 species
GGAGCGUCGGGCCCAUACCCGGCCGUCGCCGGCAGUGCGAGGCCCGCGGGGGCUAGGCCGCGACGAGUAGGAGGGCCGCUGCGGUGCGCCUCGAAGCCUGGGGCGCGGGCCCGGGUGGAGCCGCCGCAGGUGCAGAUCUUGGUGGUAGUAGCAAAUAUUCAAACGAGAGCUUUGAAGGCCGAAGUGGAGCAGGGUUCCAUGUGAACAGCAGUUGAACAUGGGUCAGUCGGUCCUAAGCGAUAGGCGAGCGCCGUUCUGAAAGGGCGGGCGAUGGCCUCCGUUGCCCUCAGCCGAUCGAAAGGGAGUCGGGUUCAGAUCCCCGAAUCCGGAGUGGCGGAGACGGGCGCCGCGAGGCGCCCAGUGCGGUGACGCAACCGAUCCCGGAGAAGCCGGCGGGAGCCCCGGGGAGAGUUCUCUUUUCUUUGUGAAGGGCCGGGCGCC